rnacentral:rRNA from 1 species
AGAGGAACCUGUCCUGUAAUCGAUGAUCCACGAUUUAUUUCCCUUAUUUUANAAGNNUGCAUAUCGCCGUAGAUGGAAUGUCCUUUAAGGGUUUAUAAACAUUCAAGAGGUUUUUAUUUGNGAAAGUAAAUCAGGUCAAGAUGUAGCUAUAAAUAAGAAGAGANGGGUUANAAUAAAUUUAUUUAUAACGGAUUAAUAUAUGAAAUUUAUUAUAAAGGGGGAUUUGAAGGAAAUUUUAUAUAAAUUUUUUNAAUGAUUCUAGCUCUAAAAUAUGUANANANCGCC